GUCGAUUUGAGUGCUACAGGAAAUUCAACGAUGAAGUGGAUCGGUUUGACUUUCUUGUUGUUGUCAUCCUUGAUGGUGGCAACAGAAGCGCGACCCCAAGCCAGGUUCCCGCCUUACUUUCCUACAAGAGGGCCCUUCAUCCCUCCAUACCCCUGCAACUGCACGUUCCCACCGUGUCCUUGUGAUCCUCCUAGACCCAUCGACUUCUUAAGGGUCAAGCGACAAGUGUGAAGAGGACUCCGGAGGGCUCGGCGACAACUGUGAAGAAGACUCCGGAGAUCCCUGCGACAAGUGU